rnacentral:misc_RNA from 1 species
UGUCCGUAGGUGAACCUGCGGAAGGAUCAUUAUCAUACGUAACGUGAGGGGCAUGCGAGGGCUGCCGCUGGCGCAAAAGUCGAGCACGCCUGAGUGUGUCCUGUAGCCUAAUAAUCCACCUCACCCUUUGCGCACAACCGCGUGGGUACCCUUCGGGGUCGUCUCGGAGGGGGGCACGCGUUUUCACACAAACCCCCCUUUUAAAAGUGUAGAUUGACCACAUUUAUGCAAUCAAUACAACUUUCAACAACGGAUCUCUUGGCUCUG